rnacentral:rRNA from 1 species
UAGAGUUUGAUCCUGGCUCAGAUUGAACGCUGGCGGCAGGCCUAACACAUGCAAGUCGAGCGGUAGAGAGAAGCUUGCUUCUCUUGAGAGCGGCGGACGGGUGAGUAAUGCCUAGGAAUCUGCCUGGUAGUGGGGGAUAACGUCCGGAAACGGACGCUAAUACCGCAUACGUCCUACGGGAGAAAGCAGGGGACCUUCGGGCCUUGCGCUAUCAGAUGAGCCUAGGUCGGAUUAGCUAGUUGGUGAGGUAAAUGGCUCACCAAGGCGACGAUCCGUAACUGGUCUGAGAGGAUGAUCAGUCACACUGGAACUGAGACACGGUCCAGACUCCUACGGGAGGCAGCAGUGGGGAAUAUUGGACAAUGGGCGAAAGCCUGAUCCAGCCAUGCCGCGUGUGUGAAGAAGGUCUUCGGAUUGUAAAGCACUUUAAGUUGGGAGGAAGGGUACUUACCUAAUACGUGAGUAUUUUGACGUUACCGACAGAAUAAGCACCGGCUAACUCUGUGCCAGCAGCCGCGGUAAUACAGAGGGUGCAAGCGUUAAUCGGAAUUACUGGGCGUAAAGCGCGCGUAGGUGGUUCGUUAAGUUGGAUGUGAAAUCCCCGGGCUCAACCUGGGAACUGCAUCCAAAACUGGCGAGCUAGAGUAUGGUAGAGGGUGGUGGAAUUUCCUGUGUAGCGGUGAAAUGCGUAGAUAUAGGAAGGAACACCAGUGGCGAAGGCGACCACCUGG